UAUGCCUUGUAGGCCUGAGAGGGCAGAGU
rnacentral:piRNA from 1 species